rnacentral:hammerhead_ribozyme from 1 species
UUCCAACUGACGAGUCCUGAGUAGGACGAAACGUAAGUCCAGGAU